rnacentral:lncRNA from 10 species
GUGGAGCUGGAAAGGUGGAGGCGGAAGUGACUGAUCAAUUCAGGGGCGUGGGGUUCGUUUAGGUUUUGCCCUGUGUAUGACCUCGUUUGGAGCCAUGAAACCAGGUGGCUUUUCUACAAUAUAAAGAUGGAAAUGGGAAGAAGAUGUUCAUUGCAAAUUAAGGAAGCUCUUCCACGAGUUCACGAAUGGAAAUAACAUCAAGAGUUUUUCAUCUUCUUAGUGUGCAAGGUUAUUUUAGGGCAAUGAUGGAAAGCACCAAGUGGAGUCUGGAGCUAGACUGAUCUGUGUUCAAUCCUGUCUUGGUUACUCAUUGGGGGGCCUCGACUUUCAUGUCUCUGUAAUGUCCCUGACAGUAUCUGCCUCACAGGGUUGCUGUGAGAGUCAAGCGAGAUAAAUAUCAAGGAGUGCAAUUCCUGGAUUUAUGAUGUCUGAGGAAUAGUCUUAGUGGAUUAUCCCAAACUUGACACAUUUUUUGCAAAAUGCUAUACAAAAAGAAGAUACAUGCGAUUAUGACAAGAUUCUCCACUUGGUGUGACCAGUCUCAUACAACCCAAGGCUGUGUGUCCAAAGGCAACUGUACUGAAUACCGGAAAGCAUGUAUUUGUUUGCUAAAUUGCUCUCUUUCCACCAGUGAUAUCAAUUCUGAAAUACUUUUGAGAUCUUGACAAUAAUCAAAAGGUAGCCAGGUGCAUCGG